rnacentral:rRNA from 1 species
CCCUUAGAUGUUCUGGGCUGCACGCGCGCUACACUGAUGCGUUCAACGAGUUUAUGACCUUGCCCGAUAGGGUUGGGUAAUCUUUUUAAAUCGCAUCGUGAUGGGGAUAGAUUAUUGCAAUUAUUAAUCUUCAACGAGGAAUGCCUAGUAAGCGCAAGUCAUCAGCUUGCGUUGAUUACGUCCCUGCCCUUUGUACACACCGCCCGUCGCUCCUACCGAUUGAAUGGUCCGGUGAAGCGUUCGGACCGUGGCCUUUGGACGGUUCGCCGUCUGUUGGCUGCGGGAAGUUCGUUAAACCUUAUCAUUUAGAGGAAGGAGAAGUCGUAACA